AAUUUUAUUAGUAUAAAUAUUAUUACAUUUGAUUUCCAAUCAGAAAAUCUAACUAAGAUAAAAU
rnacentral:tRNA from 1 species